CCUACGGGUGGCAGCAGUGAGGAAUAUUGGUCAAUGGGCGCGAGCCUGAACCAGCCAAGCAGCGUGAAGGAUGACUGCCCUACGGGUUGUAAACUUCUUUUAUAAAGGAAUAAAGUGAGGCACGUGUGCCUUUUUGUAUGUACUUUAUGAAUAAGGAUCGGCUAACUCCGUGCCAGCAGCCGCGGUAAUACGGAGGAUUCGUGCGUUAUCCGUAUUUAUUGGGUUUAAAGGGGGCGUAGAUGGGUUGUUAAGUCAGGUGUGAAAGGUUGCGGCUCAACCGUAAAAUAGCAAUUGAUACUGGCAGACUGGAGUAGAGGAGAGGUAGGCGGAAUUCGUGGUGUAGCGGUGAAAUGCUUAGAUAUCGCGAAGAACUCCGAUUGCGAAGGCAGCUUACUGGACUGCAACUGACGUUGAGGCACGAAAGUGUGGGUAUCGAACAGGAUUAGAUACCCCUGUAGUC
rnacentral:rRNA from 1 species